rnacentral:rRNA from 1 species
CAGUAGCCGCGGGAAUACGAGGGGGGCAAGCGUUGUUCGGAAUUAUUGGGCGUAAAGGGUGCGUAGGCGGUUUGAUAAGUCUUGUGUGAAAUCUCUGGGCUCAACCCAGAGUCUGCACAGGAAACUGUCGGGCUUGAGUAUUGGAGAGGUGAGUGGAAUUUCCGGUGUAGCGGUGAAAUGCGUAGAUAUCGGAAGGAACACCUGUGGCGAAAGCGGCUCACUGGACAAUUACUGACGCUGAUGCACGAAAGCUAGGGGAGCAAACAGGAUUAGAUACCCCAGUAGUCCCUGUCUCUUAUAC